UGCUUCUCUGAUGUUAGCGGCGGACGGGUGAGUAACACGUGGAUAACCUACCUAUAAGACUGGGAUAACUUCGGGAAACCCGGAGCUAAUACCGGAUAAUAUUUUGAACCGCAUGGUUCAAAAGUAAAAGACGGUCUUGCUGUCACUUAUAGAUGGAUCCGCGCUGCAUUAGCUAGUUGGUAAGGUAACGGCUUACCAAGGCAACGAUGCAUAGCCGACCUGAGAGGGUGAUCGGCCACACUGGAACUGAGACACGGUCCAGACUCCUACGGGAGGCAGCAGUAGGGAAUCUUCCGCAAUGGGCGAAAGCCUGACGGAGCAACGCCGCGUGAGUGAUGAAGGUCUUCGGAUCGUAAAACUCUGUUAUUAGGGAAGAACAUAUGUGUAAGUAACUGUGCACAUCUUGACGGUACCUAAUCAGAAAGCCACGGCUAACUACGUGCCAGCAGCCGCGGUAAUACGUAGGUGGCAAGCGUUAUCCGGAAUUAUUGGGCGUAAAGCGCGCGUAGGCGGUUUUUUAAGUCUGAUGUGAAAGCCCACGGCUCAACCGUGGAGGGUCAUUGGAAACUGGAAAACUUGAGUGCAGAAGAGGAAAGUGGAAUUCCAUGUGUAGCGGUGAAAUGCGCAGAGAUAUGGAGGAACACCAGUGGCGAAGGCGACUUUCUGGUCUGUAACUGACGCUGAUGUGCGAAAGCGUGGGGAUCAAACAGGAUUAGAUACCCUGGUAGUCCACGCCGUAAACGAUGAGUGCUAAGUGUUAGGGGGUUUCCGCCCCUUAGUGCUGCAGCUAACGCAUUAAGCACUCCGCCUGGGGAGUACGACCGCAAGGUUG
rnacentral:rRNA from 1 species